UUAAACUUUGUUUUUCUAGAUCUAGGCCCAGCACCUCGAUCGGAUCAGUCUAAAUAGAUAGGUCUUAUCUCUAAAUAUCCAAUACUACUACUAGAUCUAGACUUCAUCUAAUUGGAUUUAGAUCUAAAUUUAGGUCUACUUCGUACAUCAUUAAUGAUCUGAGAAAAGAACUCUGCUCUUGAUCAAAAGCAGUAGAUCUAGAACUAGAAUAAGCCUGAAGCAGUAACAUAAGCCAUAAAUAGCGUAACUUGACUAAAACGAAACAUGUGAACUGAGGCUCGCGGUACUGCGUGGGGUGAAACGCUGUUCGCUUGACUAGAUCAAGAAUAAGCCGACAAACAGUAGAUCUAACAUGCAAAGCCAUAAAUUGCGUGAUUUGACCUAAUUUCCCCAACUCUAACAUCCACUUUUUAUAAAUUGGCGUGUUUUAGUCGCCUUUGUUUUUAGAAACUAGCAUUCCUGUAAAAAGGAAUAGGGAAAUACGCUAAGCCAUAAACUGAAAAAUUUGACCUAAUUUCCCUUAAACUACGUCAUCGACCUUGGUUGUCUGGGAAAUACUGAUCUCGAAUGGCUUCGAGAUUGUGAAAUUUAAUAGUCCCUAAAACUCACAUUAAAUUGCUUAUAUCUAAAUAAUUACAAAGAAUAUAUGUCUAAAAUUUCGUAUGUAUGUUUUUUUAAGCAUUAUGAAUCUAAAAAAAAGUAUAACACCGGUUUCCGCGUCUGACCCCAAAACCUCUUCAGUUGGUCUUUAAAUGUUUCUGUGCAUCUUAAGAUUUUCAAAAUGGCCGCCGUAACUUGGCGGGACUUAGGCUCAUUUUCAUGACACAAUGGCCACUAAAGAUGCAACAAAAGAAUCCAAGACAUCUAACAAGACUGUUAAGACAUCUACCAAACCUGUUCUUCGAAAUCUUCUUCUCACUAAAACAAAAAAAGACUUUGCUUUAGCUCUCAGUGUUGCAUUAACUAUUGCUACCUCCUACUAUAUUUUUGUGAAGCGCCAGCGAAGAAAGAUUUUUGAAGAGUUUCACAGAACAUAUGAUGCUGAUGCCGCUUAUGAAAGAAUGAAAGCCAAAGGUGUGUUCAAACCACGGAAAAGAAGUGAAAGCAAUGCCUAAUUAACAAGGUGAUGUUACACCUUUUCCUGUUUAUCUCUGUAUCCUUCAUAAAUUUGAAAGGAUUUAAAGUUUUGUAUUAGUAAUGAUUUUACAUUUGAUAUUAAACUGGUGAAAAUGGUGUA